GGGGAGGGCGCGGAGCAGGGC
rnacentral:misc_RNA from 1 species